UGGGGAAUAUUGGACAAUGGGCGGAAGCCUGAUCCAGCCAUGCCGCGUGUGUGAAGAAGGCCUUUUGGUUGUAAAGCACUUUAAGCGAGGAGGAGGCUACUUGGAUUAAUACUCUAGGAUAGUGGACGUUACUCGCAGAAUAAGCACCGGCUAACUCUGUGCCAGCAGCCGCGGUAAUACAGAGGGUGCGAGCGUUAAUCGGAUUUACUGGGCGUAAAGCGUGCGUAGGCGGCUUCUUAAGUCGGAUGUGAAAUCCCUGGGCUUAACUUAGGAAUUGCAUUCGAUACUGGGAAGCUAGAGUAUGGGAGAGGAUGGUAGAAUUCCAGGUGUAGCGGUGAAAUGCGUAGGGAUCUGGAGGAAUACCGAUGGCGAAGGCAGCCAUCUGGCCUAAUACUGACGCUGAGGUACGAAAGCAUGGGGAGCAAACAGG
rnacentral:rRNA from 1 species